rnacentral:rRNA from 1 species
CAAUUGGACCUGAUAUCAGGUAAGAUUACC